rnacentral:rRNA from 1 species
UACAGGGACUGCAAGCGUUAUUCGGAUUCACUGGGCGUAAAGGGUGCGCAGGCGGUCGGGUGUGUCAGAUGUGAAAUCCCGAGGCUCAACCUCGGAACUGCGUCUGAAACUACUCGACUAGAGUACUGGAGAGGGUAACGGAAUUCACGGUGUAGCAGUGAAAUGCGUAGAUAUCGUGAGGAACACCAGAGGCGAAGGCGGUUACCUGGACAGUUACUGACGCUCAGGCACGAAAGCAUGGGGAGCAAAAGGG